AACGAACGCUGGCGGCAUGCCUAACACAUGCAAGUCGAACGAAACCUUCGGGUCUAGUGGCGCACGGGUGCGUAACGCGUGGGAACCUGCCCUUAGGUUCGGAAUAACUCCCCGAAAGGUGUGCUAAUACCGGAUAAUGUCUUCGGACCAAAGAUUUAUCGCCUUUGGAUGGGCCCGCGUUUGAUUAGCUAGUUGGUAGGGUAAAGGCCUACCAAGGCGACGAUCCAUAGCUGGUCUGAGAGGAUGACCAGCCACACUGGGACUGAGACACGGCCCAGACUCCUACGGGAAGCAGCAGUGGGGAAUAUUGGACAAUGGGCGAAAGCCUGAUGCAGCCAUGCCGCGUGAGUGAUGAAGGUCUUAGGGUUGUAAAGCUCUUUUACCCGGGAUGAUAAUGACAGUACCGGGAGAAGAAGCCCCGGCUAACUACGUG
rnacentral:rRNA from 1 species